AUUGAACGCUGGCGGCAUGCCUUACACAUGCAAGUCGAACGGUAACGCGGGGCAACCUGGCGACGAGUGGCGAACGGGUGAGUAAUGCAUCGGAACGUGCCCGGUAGUGGGGGAUAACUGCUCGAAAGAGCAGCUAAUACCGCAUACGACCUGAGGGUGAAAGGGGGGGAUCGCAAGACCUCUCGCUAUCGGAGCGGCCGAUGUCGGAUUAGCUAGUUGGUGGGGUAAAGGCCCACCAAGGCAACGAUCCGUAGCUGGUCUGAGAGGACGACCAGCCACGCUGGGACUGAGACACGGCCCAGACUCCUACGGGAGGCAGCAGUGGGGAAUUUUGGACAAUGGACGCAAGUCUGAUCCAGCCAUGCCGCGUGCGGGAAGAAGGCCUUCGGGUUGUAAACCGCUUUUGUCAGGGAAGAAAUCUUCUGGGUUAAUACCUCGGGAGGAUGACGGUACCUGAAGAAUAAGCACCGGCUAACUACGUGCCAGCCGCCGCAGUAA
rnacentral:rRNA from 1 species